ACCCCGCCCCUCACACUAUGCCGGGCAGUUCCCUCCGAGCCCCGCUGGGACAGCGUCUACACCGCACACACCACAGACAAGCCAGAGAACGGUGCCUGCACCGGACACAUCAUAACACCAGCACAGAACAGCGUCCACACCGCACACCCCACAGGUGAGCCUAGGGAGCUGUGUCUACACUGCAGACGUCGGCCCGAGCACACACAUCUUCAUGUAGGCUCAGCAGAGGGGGAAAAACACCUCCCCGAGGGUGGGAGAGUCGCGGCCAGCAGACAGAUGGAUGGACGGACGGAUGGACGGACACAGGCGAACAGGCAGCCCAGGGGUGAGCUGAGCCGGUCCAAUGGGCCAGGACCCGGCUCCGUGUGCCCUUCACAGUCAGGAUGACAGAACCCCAUGGAAUAUGAAAAAUGCCGGGAGACAGACCCCGGGGGCACAGCCCCUCACCGGGCGGGGAAGCCGCCAGAGGGAAGCUCAGCUCCAGACCACCAGAGCCCCAUCUGAUUAAGGCAUCGAGAUCAAAGCUCAGCAGAGGGCGGCUCAUGAUGGGCAGCUCAAAAAAAUAAACCCAUCAAUCAGAGUCCGUGUUCCUGUGACCGGCGGCGGGUGCAGAUGCAGAGGAGGCUUCUCAGCGUGGUUCCUCCUCCUCUAGGAACCUGCCACCCCGCUCAAGCCUGACACAGGCUGGGACAGCCAGGACGGCCGCAGCAGGGGCAACACGAGGCACAUCGACAUCCCAAGGCCCCCGGGCCUGUCACCAAGUCCCGGCUUGGGGAGUGUCCCCUGGCCACACUGGUCCUGCUCCGGGCAGGCUCCCUGCUGCAUGGAUCAGUUCCGGCUUGGGGAGUGUCCCCUGGCCACACUGGUCCUGCUCCCUCCUGUGUGGUCUCCUAGGCACGUGGCUUCUCCCUCCGGGGCCCAGGCUCUGGUGUGAGCUGCUUUUUCCGUAGGAGACGCCCGUGCUUGCAGCUCACGCCUUUGUCUGGUGCCCUGGCCUCACACCUAUAGGAACUGGGUACCUGGGGGCCUCUUCAUCUUUACUUGUCUCAGCUUAGAGAAGCCCAGCUACACUUCCUCCAUGCCUGGAUUCAUGCACGGCCCCACAGGGUGAGGCCUGGACACCCUCACGGGCACUGGGGCUCCACGGAUGCAGAAGGCAGCCCGGCCCGGUAGCUCGGUGGUCUGAGAUGGAGGUGGAGUAAGACAGAGCGACAAAGACUGCGUCCUGGAGGCAGGCUCCAAGCCUCCCUGAGCUCAGAGAGCCCGUGUGCGCCAGGAAGCCACACCUGCAGGACCCGAGUUGGAACUCAGAGGCUGGUACAGCUGCGGUGCUUGUCGUGUAGAUAAGGAUGGCCUCCUCUGGCGGCCAAAGUUAAUUAAACUGACAAUCUUGAUAAGCUGCACAGUUAACUGCUCGGGGACAAAGACGGGAGCCUUGUUUGUGGUUUCUUGUUCUUUCCUGUGCCCCACAGUCAUUUUAAAUUAAAUUCAAUGGCUUAUCUGUGCUAACCCAA
rnacentral:lncRNA from 1 species